AAAUUGAAGAGUUUGAUCAUGGCUCAGAUUGAACGCUGGCGGCAGGCCUAACACAUGCAAGUCGAGCGGAAACGACACUAACAAUCCUUCGGGUGCGUUAAUGGGCGUCGAGCGGCGGACGGGUGAGUAAUGCCUAGGAAAUUGCCUUGAUGUGGGGGAUAACCAUUGGAAACGAUGGCUAAUACCGCAUAAUGCCUACGGGCCAAAGAGGGGGACCUUCGGGCCUCUCGCGUCAAGAUAUGCCUAG
rnacentral:rRNA from 2 species